AUUCGUACAGCCUCACUACCACAACCCUGUGUAUUAUCAUUCUACCUCGAAAUAUCUAACUAAACUAUCCAUUUGUCAGCUCAGUAUUUCAGUUGAUUUCCUUUCGUGAGGCAGACACAUCAUUUUGGCGACGAGAAAAUCGGAUUGCGCGUAAGUUUUGAGGGAGUGAUAAAAGUAUUUAUCGACUGCGAAAUAAAUUUUCGGUAUACGGUCGGAAGUGUCUUUUGAGUGCGAAGUGAUAGUUGGUUAAAUCCCGGCCGCAGGAAUACUUUCCGCAUUUCAGCUGGUUGGAUCUGACUGGUGUUAUUGUAGCGCGCCAGAAGUAAUAGUUUACUUUCUCUGAGGCAAUUUGGAUCAAUUGAAAGUGGUUAAUUUUUGGUGGAUACAUUUCGGCAGCAGGAAUCUUUUCCGCGAGAAGCACGGGUAGAAAAAGCUGGGAAACUUGUGCUAAGGUUAUUGACCUUUUCGCCGAUAUCAACAAAAAAAAAAGUUUCGAACUCUGCUAGUUGGGUCUGGAUCACCAUUUUGAGGAGGAAACCCUAUAUUUUGUGACUCCGGAUUGGGGUAGAUCAUCAUCCAACUGUUAAGCAAAUAAAUCACCAGGAUUGUCUGAUCGGCAAGGGUCGAACGACGCCAUCAUAGAUUGGUUCGGAACCUCGAUACUUGUUGGAAACGCAGAGGCAAUGGCCCAUCGACAUCAAGUCCGGACAGUUGAGUUGGAACAUCGGGUGGUACGGCCAAACGUCUGGAACGCUAUGAACAAAAAAAAUGACUCAAACGAACGAUAAUGAUGAGAGGCUGAGACAAGUGGCCAACCCCAGAAAGCGUAAGCAACAAGAGUCACUGGCAAAUUCCGGAGACACACCUGAGCCACGACGGUCAAAGAGGAUUAGAAAGCAGAACAAGGAUGAAGAUUAUGAAUAUUAAGUGAAUUGAAUUUUGAAUUUUAUGAAAGCUUAUAAUUACAAAUUCUGAUCGAUAACUGUUGAUCGAAUUUAUUUUUUUUAAAGGAGGAAAAUGAUGUUAUGUCCAUUGAAUUAAAAUUAAUAUCGUGACGGAGACUUACAUCUCUGAGUGUGAAACCAGACGUAUGGAUUUAUAAUAAAUAGCUGACGAAUGAGAAGAGCAGGUCUCUUAUCAUUCGUACAGCCUCACUACCACAA